GACCGCGUAGCUCAGUUGGCAGAGCAUUGGAUUUGGGCUAGUAUUCCAAAGGUCGUAGGUUCGUUUCCCACCGUGGCCG